rnacentral:rRNA from 1 species
UACGGGGGGAGCAAGCGUUGUUCGGAUUUACUGGGCGUAAAGGGCGCGUAGGCGGUCAGCACAAGUCAGUUGUGAAAUCUCCGGGCUUAACUCGGAAAGGUCAACUGAUACUGUGCGACUAGAGUGCGGAAGGGGCAUCUGGAAUUCUCGGUGUAGCGGUGAAAUGCGUAGAUAUCGAGAGGAACACCGGCGGCGAAGGCGGGUUGCUGGGCCGACACUGACGCUGAUGCGCGAAAGCCAGGGGAGAGAACGGG